UCACGCUCUGUCUCUCUCUGUCUCAGAAAUAAACAUAAAAAUAAACAUUAAAAAAAAAAAGGUUCUAGAGCCAGUUAGGAAAGCAGUGCUCAUAGAGAAUAAGCAGUUAUUGAAGGUAGGAGUACAGUGGCCUCAGGUUGGCAAGUCCCUGCAUAUAAUUAAGAAUCACUUUUUUUUCAACAUUGAUUCUUUUGGUAAGUAUUUGAGUGUUUACUGAGAUGCAGUGUGGCAUAGUGGCAGUGUGGCAAAAGCAGAAGAGUUGGAAUCAGUAUUUGAAUCCAGCUUUAACUAGCUGCAAUGUGACUUUAGGCGCAUUGGUUACAUAACAGGCACAUAGGUUAAAUAGUAAUAUCCACCCCAGAGUGAUUUUGAGGAUUCUAAUAAUGUUAAUGUAUAUAGCACUUACUGUAUCCUAAGCACUUUACCCAUAUUAACUUACUGAAUCCUUGUAAUGACCCCGUGAGGUAGCCACUAUUACAAAUCCUCACUCUGUAGUUGAAGGAAUUAGGAAACAGAGGUUAAGUACCUUGCCCAAGGUCAUGUAGCUAGUAAAUAGUGAGCCAGGAUUCUGAGCCCAGUUUCUCCAGAGCCCUUGCUCUCAUUCACCAUACUCUGCUUUGAGGGGGACAUAACACAGGGCUGGAUCCAGGGAGUGCCCAGUCUCUGGAAACUGUCCCCUCCUUUGUCACUACUGCUGCCCUCUAUCUGUCUCUGUCCUUGGAUGUUAAUCUGCCAAAUCGUGUGAGACCAGAAGGUAGUUUAGUGCCAAGAGACAAUGAAGGUAAAGUUGGCAGCUUAAGAGAUCAUGAGGGUUCCAGCCCCAAAAUGAGAUCCUGGAGAACUUCACAAUCAUCCCAGCCAAGACAGGGGACCUUGCCAGGAUCAUCUGGUCACCUGGAGCUGACUGUUGGGGAUGUUUUUUCUUCUACUUGAAAUAGUAGUAAACUAUCAUGAGCUCGAGGAUUGACAUUAGUGUGUUCAAUCCACAUGCUGUUCAUGGAGUAUUGCAUGUUAGGUAGUCUAGGUUCUUUGGGGGGAUUUAGAGAUAAACAAAAGCAUGGUUCCCUUCCUCUGGGACAGUGAGGAUGGGCAGCCGUGCUUGUCAGUAAUUCUGGUUCAGUGGGAUAGGAGCUACAUUCGAGGCCUGGAGAAAACUGGACAGAGAAAAUACUAGCAGUUGACAUUUAUCGGGCAGGUGGUUGAACACUUCAUGUGCAUUAUCUCAUUAAUUAUUUGUUGUCUGUGAAUUUGUUGUUACGUAUCUGGGGUUUACAGACUGGGAAACUGAGGUUUAGAAAGUAAGAAACUUGCCUCAAGUUCACGCAGCAUGAUUCCAAAGCAGGUCUUGCUGACCCAGAGUCUGAAUUUUCAUGAAGCAGGAAUGCUUUACAAUUACUUCGGAAAGAAAAGAAAAUUUGAGCUUGGCCUGAAAACUGAGGCAGGCCUCAAGCAGUGUCCAUGGCCAGGAAUGGGAACUGCAUGCAGAGGAAAUGGCUCGGCUGAAAGCGGAGGUAGGGGGUGGGACAUGUUUAAAAAGUCAAAUGAGAGUGUGUGCUGAACAGUAACUCUGGACGAAUAGGCUUUGAACUUUAAAAUCUGUUUUGUUUUUUUUUUCCCCAGACCCGUAUCUUUUUGUCCUUCCACACUUCGGGUUCACCUUCCUUUCCUUCCUGCCUCUGUCCUUUUCUCCCUUCCCCUGGCCCACCCUGUUCCCUCCUCCUCCCCCUUUUAUAUCGCCAGUGCGGUGGCUCGUGGCAGUCUUGGAGUGACGCUUUCCAAUUUCACACUUACAUGCUCCUGAAAGUAUUCGUAAACUAACUCCUAUGUAAAACCAAUAAAGGGCAACAGCACACAUUCCUGUUAGGCAGUAA